UACGUAGGGGGCUAGCGUUGUCCGGAAUCAUUGGGCGUAAAGCGCGUGUAGGCGGUCCGGUAAGUCCGCUGUGAAAGUCGGGGGCUCAACCCUCGAAUGCCGGUGGAUACUGUCGGGCUAGAGUGCGGAAGAGGCGAGUGGAAUUCCUGGUGUAGCGGUGAAAUGCGCAGAUACCAGGAGGAACACCAAUUGCGAAGGCAGCUCGCUGGGACGUCACUGACGCUGAGACGCGAAAGCGUGGGGAGCAAACAGG
rnacentral:rRNA from 1 species